GUACACGCUGUGACUAGCAUAUCAAUAAGCGGAGGAAAAGAAACUAACAAGGAUUCCCCUAGUAACGGCGAGUGAAGCGGGAAGAGCUCAAAUUUGAAAUCUUAAAGGGUUUCCCUUUACGAAUUGUAGUUAAAGAAGUGUUUUCUGUUGAGGUUUUGGUAAAAGUUCUUUGGAAUAGGACAUCAUAGAGGGUGAGAAUCCCGUAUUUGACCUUUACUUUCAACUUUGUGAUACACUUUCAAAGAGUCGGAUUGUUUGGGAAUGCAGUCCAAAAUGGGUGGUAAAUUUCAUCUAAAGCUAAAUAUUGGCGAGAGACCGAUAGCGAACAAGUACCGUGAGGGAAAGAUGAAAAGAACUUUGAAAAGAGAGUUAAACAGUACGUGAAAUUGUCAAAAGGGAAGCGUUUGACACCAGUGUUGUUUUUCUGAAAAUCAAUUAAAGAACUGUUUAUGCUAAGCUGUUUAGACUUUAUCAGCUAUCUGUUUAGUUUUGAGCUUUUCUUUAAUGCACUUUUCAGUUAACAAGUCAACAUCAAUUUCUUUUGCUGUAAAAAAGCUUGAGGAAGGUGGCUUGAGAUUCGUCUUAAGUGUUUAUAGCCUCUUGCCUAUGCAGUCGGAGAGAUUGAGGUCUGCAGCGUAGAUCCUUCGGGGCUAAAUGCAUUUGUGCUAAGUUAUAGUAUUUAUAGACAACUUGUUGACUAUGAUUUGUCUUGUAGCUUACUCGCUUAUGUUAUUUUACCUACGCUUAGGAUGUUGACUGAUAUGUAGUCGU
rnacentral:rRNA from 1 species